UACGUAGGGGCAAGCGUUGUCCGGAAUCAUUGGGCGUAAAGAGCGUGUAGGCGGCCCGGUAAGUCCGCUGUGAAAGUCCAGGGCUCAACCCUGGAAUGCCGGUGGAAACUGUCGGGCUAGAGUCCGGAAGAGGAGAGUGGAAUUCCCGGUGUAGCGGUGAAAUGCGCAGAUAUCGGGAAGAACACCCGUGGCGAAGGCGGCUCUCUGGGACGGUACUGACGCUGAGACGCGAAAGCGUGGGGAGCGAACAGGA
rnacentral:rRNA from 1 species